UACAGAGGGUGCGAGCGUUAAUCGGAAUUACUGGGCGUAAAGGGCGCGUAGGUGGUUUGUUAAGAUUGUUGUGAAAUCCCUGGGCUUAACCUAGGAACUGCAACAGUGACUGACAAGCUAGAGUAUUGUAGAGGGUAGUGGAAUUUCCGGUGUAGCGGUGAAAUGCGUAGAGAUCGGAAGGAACACCAGUGGCGAAGGCGGCUACCUGGACAAAUACUGACACUGAGGCGCGAGAGCGUGGGGAGCAAACAGG
rnacentral:rRNA from 1 species